GACGAACCGUGCGAACGUUAUUCGGAAUCACUGGGCUUAAAGCGCGUGUAGGCGGGACGGCACGUCGGUCGCUGAAAUCCCCCGGCUCAACCGGGGAACGGGCGCCGAUACGACCGUCCUGGAGGGACGUAGGGGGACCUGGAACUUCCGGUGGAGCGGUGAAAUGCGUUGAGAUCGGAAGGAACGCCCGUGGCGAAAGCGAGGUCCUGGACGUCUUCUGACGCUGAGACGCGAAAGCCAGGGGAGCAAACGGG
rnacentral:rRNA from 1 species